rnacentral:rRNA from 1 species
CCUACGGGUGGCUGCAGUGGGGAAUCUUGCACAAUGGGCGAAAGCCUGAUGCAGCGACGCCGCGUGCGGGACGAAGGCCUUCGGGUCGUAAACCGCUUUCAGCAGGGACGAGGCCGCGAGGUGACGGUACCUGCAGAAGAAGCCCCGGCUAACUACGUGCCAGCAGCCGCGGUAAUACGUAGGGGGCGAGCGUUAUCCGGAUUCAUUGGGCGUAAAGCGCGCGUAGGCGGCCUGUUAGGUCGGGAGUCAAAUCCGGGGGCUCAACCCCCGCCCGCUCCCGAUACCGGCGGGCUUGAGUCUGGUAGGGGAAGGCGGAAUUCCAAGUGUAGCGGUGGAAUGCGCAGAUAUUUGGAAGAACACCGGUGGCGAAGGCGGCCUUCUGGGCCACGACUGACGCUGAGGCGCGAAAGCUAGGGGAGCGAACAGGCUUAGAUACCCCGGUAGUC